AAAAUGUUCAAAACAAUGGGGCAGCAGAGUACCCCUUUAAGACCAAGACGGUCACACAUGCUCAGUUCAAUUGCAUAUUGCUUGUUUGUCUCUACUGUGUAUGCAAGCAAGGGGGAUUGUGGGAAAGUGUGUGCUCUGUUGCCUGGCAACUGCAACGUCCCAGUUAAUAGAAGAAACCAGGAAGUGAUCAGAUCCAUCGGGGGAGAAGAACAGUACAGGGGUGUAGGAAUUAAUUAGGGGCCUGACGAAGCGCUGUAAGCGCGAAUACGGACCGUCGCCCAUUCCUCUCCCCCGCACGCCUAGCCGCUCUCCCCUAUGUGUACCUAUGCUGUCAAGCCUGCCUAUAUGAAUAAAGAAGCUUGAUUCCCCCCACAAGACCUGACAUGAAAUCUCGCGAGAUUACGGUCCAUAAGUAGUGGUGGUGGGUUCAUUCACAUUAGGCUUGAGAAAGGGAGAGAUCCUGAAACGGCGCCCUGCAUUUUCACCUUCGGGUGAGCAUUUAUUCGCUGUUUGGAGAGAAGGCAGGAGGUACGGCUAACAUGGACACUGCUAUACGGAGCUCCGGCUGGAGCCUUAAGAUCUGAAUUGAUGCCGUAGACCUCAUCAGCGACGAGCACUGGGGGAAUAUGAGGUGUUCCUUUACACUGUUCCCGUAUUUUAAGUUUUUGUAUGAAGACAUACGGUCGAAGUAAAAGUGGUAU